ensembl:snRNA U5 U5 spliceosomal RNA
AGCUCGAGUUUCUCUUCAUUGUCGCAUAAAUCUUUCGCCUUUACUAAAGAUUUCCGUGGAGGGGAGCUUUUGCGAGUGACCUGUAUUUUUGGGGGCUCUGCUCACAGCAGAGCU